rnacentral:lncRNA from 10 species
GUCGGUGAGGAGGCCACGCUCGCGGGACGGGGGCAGGAAGCGCAGCCGGAGCUGCAGAUCUCGGCCGCGCCCCGCGGGCUCCAAUCCCGAGCGUCCCCCGCACGCGCAGCCGCGCUCGCCCGCGGGGCCUAAGGGCUGCUCAGGGCGGAGACCCCGUAGGUCCCGGUUCUGGCGGAUUUGGCCCAGGCACCCCCAGCCCCCAGAUCUGGCCGGGUGCGGCGGCUCAUGCCUGUAAUCCCAGCACUUUGGGAGGCCGAAGCAGGUGGAUCACAUGAAGUCAGAAGUUGGAGACUAGCCUGGCCAACAUGCCAGCCUCCAGCAUCGCCUCCUCUGGGAUCUUCUCUGACUUCCCAGUCGGUUUCAGAAGCCUCUGAUGACCCCAUGCGGAGAAGACUGCUCCCCUCACUGCUGGCACACGGCAGAUGCUCAGUAAGUAUCGUUCAAUGACUGACUAAAUGUCUCAUAAUAUCCUUCAUAAACAAGGGCCUGGUGUGGAUUCAUAAAUGGGUCUCUCAAAGUUUAAUUGGUGAGACUCUGUUGUAUCAGACAAUGAAGGGUUAAAAGAUAAUAUUCAAAAAAGUAAAAUCAUGACACACAAAUCUAGAAUGAACACACAUUGAUAAGGUUUGGAUCUGUGUCCUCACCCAAACCUCAUGUCGAACUGGGAUCCCCCGUGUCAGAGGCGGCCGCGUGGGAGGUGACCGGAUCGCGGGUGGACCCUUCAUGAAGGGUUCAGCACCAUCCCCUUGGUGCUGUCCUGGGACAGAGUUCUCUUGCGAUCUGGUUGUUUAAACGUGUGUGGCCCCUUCCCCCUCUCUUUUCCUCCUCCUCCUGCCGUGGGAGACACUUGCUCCAGCUUCGCCUUCCGCCGCGAGUUGAAGCUCCCCGAGGCCUCCUCAGAAGCAGAAGCCACCACGCUUCCUGUACAGCCUGUGGGACCCGGAGCCAGUUCAACCUCUUUUCUUUAUAAAUUACCCAGACUCGGCCGGGCACGGUGGCUCACGCCUGUAAUCCCAGCACUUUGUUGAGACCGAGGCAGGCAGAUCACGAGGUCAGGAGAUCGAGAACAUCCUGGCUAACACGGUGAAACCCCGUCUCUACUAAAAAUACAAAAAAUUAGCCGGGCGUGGUGGCGGGCGCCUGUGGUCCCAGCUACUCGGGAGGCUGAGGCAGGAGAAUGGUGUGAACCCGGG